CUUCUCCUACGGGACGCAGCAGUGAGGAAUAUUGGUCAAUGGGCGGGAGCCUGAACCAGCCAAGCCGCGUGAGGGAAGAAGGAACAGCGUAUCGUAAACCUCUUUUGUCAGGGAACAAAGGCGGGGACUAGUCCCCGGAUGAGGGUACCUGAAGAAAAAGCAUCGGCUAACUCCGUGCCAGCAGCCGCGGUAAUACGGAGGAUGCGAGCGCUAUCCGGAUUUAUUGGGUUUAAAGGGUGCGCAGGCGGCCUGUUAAGUCAGCGGUAGAAGCCCGGGGCUCAACC
rnacentral:rRNA from 1 species